rnacentral:rRNA from 1 species
AUUGAACGCUGGCGGAAUGCUUUACACAUGCAAGUCAAACGAUGAAGCCUAGCUUGCUAGGUCGAAUAGUGGCGAACGGGUGAGUAAUAUAUCGGAACGUAUCCAAUAAUGGGGGAUAACUAGUCGAAAGAUUGGCUAAUACCGCAUACGUCCUACGGGAGAAAGCUGGGGAUCGUAAGACCUGGCGUUAAUGGAGCGGCCGAUAUCUGAUUAGCUAGUUGGUGAGGUAAAGGCUCACCAAGGCGACGAUCAGUAGCUGGUCUGAGAGGACGACCAGCCACACUGGAACUGAGACACGGUCCAGACUCCUACGGGAGGCAGCAGUGGGGAAUUUUGGACAAUGGGCGAAAGCCUGAUCCAGCCAUUCCGCGUGAGUGAAGAAGGCUUUCGGGUUGUAAAGCUCUUUCGCAAGGGAAGAAACGUUACGAGCGAAUAACUCGUGAUAAUGACGGUACCUUGAUAAGAAGCACCGGCUAACUACGUGCCAGCAGCCGCCGUAAGAC